CGCGUAGGUGGUUCGAUAAGGGUGUGGUGAAAGUCCGGGGCUCAACCCCGGAUCUGCCGUGCCGACUGUCAAACUCGAGGACUGUAGAGGCAGACGGAAUUCCGGGUGUAGCGGUGGAAUGCGUAGAGAUCCGGAGGAAGACCGGUGGCGAAGGCGGUCUGCUGGGCAGUUUCUGACACUGAGGCGCGACAGCGUGGGGAGCAAACA
rnacentral:rRNA from 1 species